GAUGAACGCUGGCGGCGUGCCUAAUACAUGCAAGUCGAGCGAACAGACGAGGAGCUUGCUCCUCUGACGUUAGCGGCGGACGGGUGAGUAACGCGUGGAUAACCUACCUAUAAGACUGGGAUAACUUCGGGAAACCGGAGCUAAUACCGGAUAAUAUAUUGAACCGCAUGGUUCAAUAGUGAAAGACGGUUUUGCUGUCACUUAUAGAUGGAUCCGCGCCGCAUUAGCUAGUUGGUAAGGUAACGGCUUACCAAGGCAACGAUGCGUAGCCGACCUGAGAGGGUGAUCGGCCACACUGGAACUGAGACACGGUCCAGACUCCUACGGGAGGCAGCAGUAGGGAAUCUUCCGCAAUGGGCGAAAGCCUGACGGAGCAACGCCGCGUGAGUGAUGAAGGCCUUCGGAUCGUAAAACUCUGUUAUUAGGGAAGAACAAAUGUGUAAGUAACUAUGCACGUCUUGACGGUACCUAAUCAGAAAGCCACGGCUAACUACGUG
rnacentral:rRNA from 1 species